rnacentral:lncRNA from 1 species
GUUGGGGCCCGUUUUUCCAACGGACCAAAGAACAUUCCCCAUUUCUGCUGCCCAGGCACAGAAAGUGCUGCCUCCAGGCCAAGAGAGAAGGUGCACUACAGGAGGAUACCCCCUGCUCUGGAGUUGACACGGAGUCGAUACAGGAACAGCUGAUUAUCAACAGAAUGCAGAUUCGCUGAGCUAGAUGAAUGCACAAGUGACUAUUCCUCUACCCCUCUCUCACAUGUGAACGGCUGAUCAAAAACUCAGAAGAAUGCGACCUCUUGCCUCUUACCUCCCCACACCUUUUAAACAUUUCUCCCUCUUUCCCCAGUGUCUGCCCUUUCCCCUUUAAAUAUUGAAGCCCUCAAAAUCAUCUUUGUAGAAAGGCACAGACUUGUCUCCCUGUCUCCCGGGCAUGUGUCCUUAACCUUGGCA